rnacentral:rRNA from 1 species
UACGUAGGGUGCAAGCGUUGUCCGGAAUUAUUGGGCGUAAAGAGCUCGUAGGCGGUCUGUCGCGUCGGCUGUGAAAACUCGGGGCUCAACUCCGAGCUUGCAGUCGAUACGGGCAGGCUAGAGUUCGGCAGGGGAGACUGGAAUUCCUGGUGUAGCGGUGAAAUGCGCAGAUAUCGGGAAGAACACCCGUGGCGAAGGCGGCUCGCUGGGACGUUACUGACGCUGAGACGCGAAAGCGUGGGGAGCAAACAGGG